AAUCCAUAGGUUAAUGAGGCGAACCGGGGGAACUGAAACAUCUAAGUACCCCGAGGAAAAGAAAUCAACCGAGAUUCCCCCAGUAGCGGCGAGCGAACGGGGAGGAGCCCAGAGCCUGAAUCAGCAUGUGUGUUAGUGGAAGCGUCUGGAAAGGCGCGCGAUACAGGGUGACAGCCCCGUACACAAAAGCGCAUGUGCUGUGAGCUCGAUGAGUAGGGCGGGACACGUGGUAUCCUGUCUGAAUAUGGGGGGACCAUCCUCCAAGGCUAAAUACUCCUGACUGACCGAUAGUGAACCAGUACCGUGAGGGAAAGGCGAAAAGAACCCCGGCGAGGGGAGUGAAAAAGAACCUGAAACCGUGUACGUACAAGCAGUGGGAGCACAGGUUUACCUGUGUGACUGCGUACCUUUUGUAUAAUGGGUCAGCGACUUAUAUUCUGUAGCAAGGUUAACCGUAUAGGGGAGCCGGAGGGAAACCGAGUCUUAAUUGGGCGUUAAGUUGCAGGGUAUAGACCCGAAACCCGGUGAUCUAGCCAUGGGCAGGUUGAAGGUUGGGUAACACUAACUGGAGGACCGAACCGACUAAUGUUGAAAAAUUAGCGGAUGACCUGUGGCUGGGGGUGAAAGGCCAAUCAAACCGGGAGAUAGCUGGUUCUCCCCGAAAGCUAUUUAGGUAGCGCCUCGUGAAUUCAUCUCCGGGGGUAGAGCACUGUUUCGGCUAGGGGGCCAUCCCGGCUUACCAACCCGAUGCAAACUGCGAAUACCGGAGAAUGUUAUCACGGGAGACACACGGCGGGUGCUAACGUCCGUCGUGAAGAGGGAAACAACCCAGACCGCCAGCUAAGGUCCCAAAGUCAUGGUUAAGUGGGAAACGAUGUGGGAAGGCCCAGACAGCCAGGAUGUUGGCUUAGAAGCAGCCAUCAUUUAAAGAAAGCGUAAUAGCUCACUGGUCGAGUCGGCCUGCGCGGAAGAUGUAACGGGGCUAAACCAUGCACCGAAGCUGCGGCAGCGACGCUGAUGCGUUGUUGGGUAGGGGAGCGUUCUGUAAGCCUGCGAAGGUGGCCUGUGAGGGUUGCUGGAGGUAUCAGAAGUGCGAAUGCUGACAUAAGUAACGAUAAAGCGGGUGAAAAGCCCGCUCGCCGGAAGACCAAGGGUUCCUGUCCAACGUUAAUCGGGGCAGGGUGAGUCGACCCCUAAGGCGAGGCCGAAAGGCGUAGUCGAUGGGAAACGGGUUAAUAUUCCCGUACUUGGUGUUACUGCGAAGGGGGGACGGAGAAGGCUAUGUUGGCCGGGCGACGGUUGUCCCGGUUUAAGCGUGUAGGUGUGUGUUCCAGGUAAAUCCGGUUCACUUUAAC
rnacentral:rRNA from 1 species